rnacentral:snoRNA from 1 species
CAGAAUGAUGAAAACCUGGAAUUGAUCCAGAUUGACCCGAAAAGGAUGCUGUAAAUGGCCUUCCAGCUGAGUCUGAAA